CAAAUUAUUUCUAAAAGUUAGAAUUUUCAUUUACAAAGAAAAAUUUAUUGUGCAAAUCAAUAUAAUUUGA
rnacentral:tRNA from 1 species